GAAGUUGUGGCUCAGUGGUAGAGCAUUUGCCUAAAAUGCUUAAGGCUCCUGCUUCA
rnacentral:tRNA from 1 species